AUUGAACGCUGGCGGCAUGCCUUACACAUGCAAGUCGAACGGCAGCACGGGAGCAAUCCUGGUGGCGAGUGGCGAACGGGUGAGUAAUAUAUCGGAACGUGCCCAGUCGUGGGGGAUAACGUAGCGAAAGCUACGCUAAUACCGCAUACGAUCUAUGGAUGAAAGCGGGGGAUCGCAAGACCUCGCGCGAUUGGAGCGGCCGAUAUCAGAUUAGCUAGUUGGUGAGGUAAAGGAUCACCAAGGCGACGAUCUGUAGCUGGUCUGAGAGGACGACCGGCCACACUGGAACUGAGACACGUGCCAGACUCCUACGGGAGGCAGCAGUGGGAAUUUUGGACAAUGGGCGAAAGCCUGAUCCUGCAAUGCGGGGUGCAGGAUGAAGGCCUUCGGGUUGUAAACUGCUUUUGUACGGAACGAAACGGUGAGCUCUAAUACAGUUUGCUAAUGACGGUACCGUAAGAAUAAGCACCGGCUAACUACGUGCCAGCAGCCGCGGUAA
rnacentral:rRNA from 1 species